CUGGCCCAAGAUAGCUGGCUUUCUUUCUAUCACAAAGGCAACUGCAGGAAACCUGGAAGCUCUUACAGACUCCAGUCUUGAGGCAGCCUUCUGCCGCUCCCCCAUCCUGGUCUUCAGGAAAAUCCCGAAGCCGAUGUCUCCACCAUCUGAUGCAAACUGCCACCUGGAGCAGGUUGAAGGCCACAGGGAAAAGCUUGGGCGCUGAAACACACAGAACCCCGUUGAGAAGCUGGACAAGAGGAAGGGCUGCUGUGUAAA